AAAUAAUUGUGUUAGACUAGAAUUCCACUUUGUUAACUUUGUUUGAAAUAACAAUUUCCACUGUGAUUUAUGUCUGUAGUAAUUAAAUCAAACCUUUACCAGACAUCUCUGAUUUGUCCUGCUCCUUGCUUUAUAUGGAAGUUGACAGAUCUAGCUACUUCUUCUCUUUCCUUUAGCACCUGCACAUCCUAAAUGGAACAGUUAGUUAUCUAUCUCUCUUCCUCCCCCUCUUCUUCCAUCCUUCAUUCCAUCUGCUAACUAAUUCCUUUAGCAGCUAUGUGCAAAGUAUGUGGCUAGUUGCUGUGGUGAAUCUCAUACGAGUAGGACAUAAUCCUAUGUUUGUAUGACUUUAUAAUCUAGUAGGAGUGAGAUUUCGGAAGGUUACUCCUAUAGCUAAUUGUUCAUCAAGCCACCUUUUGGAAGGAAGGGUGAAAGGAAAGUUCUAGAGCAUGAAAUAGCAUUGGGAAGUCUUCAGGAUUAAUCUUUAAUUCCUGUUUUUUGACCAUCUAAUUGGCUCCAAGCCUUAGUGGACCAUUUGAUUUAUAGAAUCAGAAUAAUUUAGAACAACAAAAAAAUUUAAUUGCUUUUUUUUUUUUUUUUUUGAGACAGGGUCUUGUUCUGUUGCCCAGGCUGGAGUUCAGUGGCACAGUCAUGGCUCACUGCAGCUUCAACCUCCAAGGCUCAAUUGAUCCCCGCGCCUCAGCCUCCCGAGUAGCUGGGACUACAAAUCCUGAAGUCAACCAGGAACUGGUUGGCUCUUGAUGAAGAAAUAUUUAACAUCAGAGUAAGUGUUCUAGAGAUUAAUGGCUGCUGUUUGGCAAGGUCCAUAGACGUCCUUUCCUGCCAAUACAAAUAUAUACAUUGUUGAAGCACAAGACUAUAUCCACAGAUAGGAUUACAUGUUAACUGAAAAGAUUCAAGGAAGAGAAGAUGGGCCAUCAAUGAAAAAUGGUGGUUACAAUGAAGCAACUGAUUUCACAGCUAAGGCGAGAGCACUGCACUUCCUCCUCAUGCUUUCUGGUUGUUAAACUCCCACUAAGAAGCAUGAAAAAGAGCAAGAUGCACUUGAGGAGAUAAAGCAGACCUUUGAAGGGAAACCAAACAUCAGUUCAAGUUGUAACUUAGAGACCAGAAAAGAUAUUCCAAGUUUUUGUGAAGUUUAAAAUGUGCUCUUUUGUAUGGAAAAAAUAAAUCCUGUUGGCAAA
rnacentral:lncRNA from 10 species